UACGUAGGGACCGAGCGUUGUCCGGAAUCAUUGGGCGUAAAGAGCGUGUAGGCGGCUAUUUAAGUCCUGCGUGAAAUCCUGCGGCUCAACCGCAGACGGUCGUGGGAAACUGGAUGGCUAGAGUGCGGGAGAGGAGAGUGGAAUUCCUGGUGUAGCGGUGGAAUGCGCAGAUAUCAGGAGGAACACCGAUGGCGAAGGCAGCUCGCUGGGACGGUACUGACGCUGAGGCGCGAAAGCGUGGGGAGCGAACAGG
rnacentral:rRNA from 1 species